GCUUUGGGGAACAAGGCCCAGGCUCAACCACCUCCAUCGGCGGGGUUUUCCAGCUGAGAGGCCGUGAGCGCCUAGAGUUGGGUGACCACAGGGAGAGUCCUUCCUGAGGGACAAGCAGAGCCGGUGAGUUCCUGAACCUGAGAGAACCUAGGACGCACCUGGGCAGGUGCCUGGGUGGCGGCCCUUGAGAGUCAACAUAAGUCAACGAGGCCAAGACCGAACCAGCCGGCCUGAAAGUGCGCGAU
rnacentral:lncRNA from 1 species